CCUACGGGAGGCAGCAGUGGGGAAUAUUGGGCAAUGGGCGCAAGCCUGACCCAGCAAUGCCGCGUGAAGGAAGAAGGCUUUCGGGUUGUAAACUUCUUUGACAGGGGAAGAGCAGAAGACGGUACCCUGAAAACAAGCCAGGGCUAACUAGGUGCCAGCAGCCGCGGUAACACGGAGGUGGCAAGCGUUGUCCGGAUUAACUGGGGGUAAAGGGCGUGUAGCCGGGAAGGCAAGUCAGAUGUGAAAACUGGAGGCUCAACCUGCGAAUUGCAUGUGAAACUGUUUUUCUUGAGUACUGGAGAGGCAGACGGAAUUCCUGGUGUAGCGGUGAAAUGCGUAGAGAUAAGGAGGAAAACCAGUGGCGAAGGCGGCCUGCUGGACAGCGACUGACGCUGAGGCGCGAAAGCGUGGGGAGCAAACAGGAUUAGAUACCCCUGUAGUC
rnacentral:rRNA from 1 species